AACUACACUAUCAAUGAAUGGACUCACCCGCGGGAUGACGUGGUGUUUUACAUAGGACGAGGUCAUGGCAUCCUAUUACCAGCCAUCGCACGAAAUUAAUAGGAUAUGCCACGCAUCGCACGGAAAUUAAUAGGAUAUGCCACGUCAUCAUCCUAGAUGGAACAACCACGUCAUCUCACUGGUGAAUCCAUUCAUCGAUAGUGUAAUU
rfam:Oryza rufipogon genomic scaffold, chr05